rnacentral:rRNA from 1 species
AAAUUGAAGAGUUUGAUCAUGGCUCAGAUUGAACGCUGGCGGCAGGCCUAACACAUGCAAGUCGAGCGGUAGCACAGAGAGCUUGCUCUCGGGUGACGAGCGGCGGACGGGUGAGUAAUGUCUGGGAAACUGCCUGAUGGAGGGGGAUAACUACUGGAAACGGUAGCUAAUACCGCAUAACGUCGCAAGACCAAAGUGGGGGACCUUCGGGCCUCAUGCCAUCAGAUGUGCCCAGAUGGGAUUAGCUAGUAGGUGGGGUAACGGCUCACCUAGGCGACGAUCCCUAGCUGGUCUGAGAGGAUGACCAGCCACACUGGAACUGAGACACGGUCCAGACUCCUACGGGAGGCAGCAGUGGGGAAUAUUGCACAAUGGGCGCAAGCCUGAUGCAGCCAUGCCGCGUGUGUGAAGAAGGCCUUCGGGUUGUAAAGCACUUUCAGCGGGGAGGAAGGCGUUAAGGUUAAUAACCUUGGCGAUUGACGUUACCCGCAGAAGAAGCACCGGCUAACUCCGUGCCAGCAGCCGCGGUAAUACGGAGGGUGCAAGCGUUAAUCGGAAUUACUGGGCGUAAAGCGCACGCAGGCGGUCUGUCAAGUCGGAUGUGAAAUCCCGGGCUCAACCUGGGAACUGCAUUCGAAACUGGCAGGCUAGAGUCUUGUAGAGGGGGUAGAAUUCCAGGUGUAGCGGUGAAAUGCGUAGAGAUCUGGAGGAAUACCGGUGGCGAAGGCGGCCCCCUGGACAAAGACUGACGCUCAGGUGCGAAAGCGUGGGGAGCAAACAGGAUUAGAUACCCUGGUAGUCCACGCCGUAAACGAUGUCGAUUUGGAGGUUGUGCCCUUGAGGCGUGGCUUCCGGAGCUAACGCGUUAAAUCGACCGCCUGGGGAGUACGGCCGCAAGGUUAAAACUCAAAUGAAUUGACGGGGCCCGCACAAGCGGUGGAGCAUGUGGUUUAAUUCGAUGCAACGCGAAGAACCUUACCUGGUCUUGACAUCCACAGAACUUUCCAGAGAUGGAUUGGUGCCUUCGGGAACUGUGAGACAGGUGCUGCAUGGCUGUCGUCAGCUCGUGUUGUGAAAUGUUGGGUUAAGUCCCGCAACGAGCGCAACCCUUAUCCUUUGUUGCCAGCGGUUCGGCCGGGAACUCAAAGGAGACUGCCAGUGAUAAACUGGAGGAAGGUGGGGAUGACGUCAAGUCAUCAUGGCCCUUACGACCAGGGCUACACACGUGCUACAAUGGCAUAUACAAAGAGAAGCGACCUCGCGAGAGCAAGCGGACCUCAUAAAGUAUGUCGUAGUCCGGAUUGGAGUCUGCAACUCGACUCCAUGAAGUCGGAAUCGCUAGUAAUCGUAGAUCAGAAUGCUACGGUGAAUACGUUCCCGGGCCUUGUACACACCGCCCGUCACACCAUGGGAGUGGGUUGCAAAAGAAGUAGGUAGCUUAACCUUCGGGAGGGCGCUUACCACUUUGUGAUUCAUGACUGGGGUGAAGUCGUAACAAGGUAACCGUAGGGGAACCUGCGGUUGGAUCACCUCCUUACCUUAAAGAA